rnacentral:rRNA from 1 species
AGCCCGAAGAAAUUCGGAUUAAUACCGCAUAAUAUUAUCGGAUCGCAUGGUUUGAUGAUAAAAACUUUGGUGGUUAUAGAUGGGCAUGCGUGACAUUAGAUAGUUGGUGGGGUAACGGCUUACCAAGUCUACGAUGUCUAGGGGGCCUGAGAGGGUAGUCCCCCACACUGGUACUGAGACACGGACCAGACUCCUACGGGAGGCAGCAGUGAGGAAUAUUGCGCAAUGGACGAAAGUCUGACGCAGCCAUGCCGCGUGCAGGAUGACGGCCCUAUGGGUUGUAAACUGCUUUUUUAUAGGAAGAAACUCAUCUACGUGUAGGUGACUGACGGUACUAUAUGAAUAAGCAUCGGCUAACUCCGUGCCAGCAGCCGCGGUAAUACGGAGGAUGCAAGCGUUAUCCGGAUCUAUUGGGUUUAAAGGGUGCGUAGGCGGGAGCUUAAGUCAGUGGUGAAAUCUUGCAGCUUAACUGUAAAAUUGCCAUUGAUACUGAGUUUCUUGAGUUCGGUUGAAGUAGGCGGAAUGUGUAAUGUAGCGGUGAAAUGCUUAGAGAUUACACAGAACACCGAUUGCGUAGGCAGCUUACUAAGCCGAAACUGACGCUGAGGCACGAAAGUGUGGGGAUCGAACAGGAUUAGAUACCCUGGUAGUCCACACUGUAAACGAUG